rnacentral:rRNA from 1 species
AACGAACGCUGGCGGCAUGCCUAACACAUGCAAGUCGAACGAGACCUUCGGGUCUAGUGGCGCACGGGUGCGUAACGCGUGGGAACCUGCCCUUAGGUUCGGAAUAACUCCCCGAAAGGGGUGCUAAUACCGGAUAAUGUCUUCGGACCAAAGAUUUAUCGCCUUUGGAUGGGCCCGCGUUGGAUUAGCUAGUUGGUAGGGUAAAAGCCUACCAAGGCGACGAUCCAUAACUGGUCUGUGAGGAUGAUCAGCCACACUGGGACUGGGACACGGCCCGGACUCCUACGGGAGGCAGCAGUGGGGAAUAUUGGACAAUGGGCGAAAGCCUGAUCCACCAAUGCCGCGUGAGUGAUGAAGGCCUUAGGGUUGUAAAGCUCUUUUACCCGGGAUGAUAAUGACAGUACCGGGAGAAUAAGCUCCGGCUAACUCCGUG